GACGAACGCUGGCGGCGUGCUUAACACAUGCAAGUCGAACGGAAAGGCCCUGCUUUUGUGGGGUGCUCGAGUGGCGAACGGGUGAGUAACACGUGAGUAACCUGCCCUUGACUUUGGGAUAACUUCAGGAAACUGGGGCUAAUACCGGAUAGGAGCUCCUGCUGCAUGGUGGGGGUUGGAAAGUUUCGGCGGUUGGGGAUGGACUCGCGGCUUAUCAGCUUGUUGGUGGGGUAGUGGCUUACCAAGGCUUUGACGGGUAGCCGGCCUGAGAGGGUGGCCGGCCACAUUGGGACUGAGAUACGGCCCAGACUCCUACGGGAGGCAGCAGUGGGGAAUAUUGCACAAUGGGAGGAAGCCUGAUGCAGCAACGCCGCGUGCGGGAUGACGGCCUUCGGGUUGUAAACCGCUUUCGCCUGUGACGAAGCGUGAGUGACGGUAAUGGGUAAAGAAGCACCGGCUAACUACGUG
rnacentral:rRNA from 1 species